rnacentral:misc_RNA from 1 species
GAUGAAGAACGCAGCAAAAUGCGAUAAGUAAUGUGAAUUGCAGAAUUCAGAGAAUCAUCGAAUCUUUGAACGCACAUUGCGCCCGCCAGUAUUCUGGCGGGCAUGCCUGUUCGAGCGUCAUUUCAACCCUCAAGCACAGCUUGGUGUUGGGACUCGCGUUAAUUCGCGUUCCUCAAAUUGAUUGGCGGUCACGUCGAGCUUCCAUAGCGUAGUAGUAAAACCCUCGUUACUGGUAAUCGUCGCGGCCACGCCGUUAAACCCCAACUUCUGAAUGUUGACCUCGGAUCAGGUAGGAAUACCCGCUGAACUUAAGCAUAUCAAUAAGCGGAGGA